rnacentral:rRNA from 1 species
UUCUGCUUUCGUAGGUGACCUGCGGAAGGAUCAUUAUUGAAUAAGCUUGGUUGGGUUGUUGCUGGCUCUCUGGGGGGCAUGUGCACGCCUGACACCAACUUUUCUUACCACCUGUGCACUUUUUGUAGACUUUGGAAUAUCUGUCCGAGGAAACUCGGUUUUGAGGACUGCUGUGUGGCAAUGCCAGCUUUCCUUACAUUUUCCGGUCUAUGUUUUUAUAUACCCCUGUAGAAUGUCACAGCAUGUCAUCUUAAUGGGCUUUAAUUGCCUUUUAAACCUUAUACAACUUUCAACAACGGAUCUCUUGGCUCUCGCAUCGAUGAAGAACGCAGCGAAAUGCGAUAAGUAAUGUGAAUUGCAGAAUUCAGUGAAUCAUCGAAUCUUUGAACGCACCUUGCGCUCCUUGGUAUUCCGAGGAGCAUGCCUGUUUGAGUGUCAUGAAAUUCUCAACCUUAUCGGCUUUUAUUGGUUGAUUAGGCUUGGAUGUGGGAGUUUUGUGGGCUUCUUAAGAGGUCGACUCUCCUUAAAUUCAUUAGCGGGACCGUUUUGGUUGCCCUAGCCCUAGUGUGAUAAUUAUCUACGCUAUUGCUCAAGGUGACUUGGUGCAGCUUCUAAUCGUCUCUUUCAUCGAGACAAUUUAUAUGACAAUUUGACCUCAAAUCAGGUAGGACUACCCGCUGAACUUAAGCAUAUCAAUAAGCGGAGGAAAAGAAACUAACAAGGAUUCCCCUAGUAACUGCGAGUGAAGCGGGAAAAGCUCAAAUUUAAAAUCUGAGGGUCCUUGCGGCCUUCCGAGUUGUAAUCUAGAGAAGUGUUAUCG